GUCUGUAAGUACCUACACAGGGCACAAAUAUUUACUGAUGGGCUCUUCUAUCCAUCAGAGAAAGAUAUAAUAUGAUCCAUUGGCUGGAAGUUGAAGCUAGACAAAUUUAGCCUGCAAAUGAGUUGUAAACUUUUUUAUUGUGAG